rnacentral:rRNA from 1 species
GCUAGGCGCAGGCUUAACACAUGCAAGUCGAGGGGUAACAGGGAGAAGCUUGCUUUUCCGCUGACGACCGGCGCACGGGUGCGUAACGCGUAUAGAACCUACCUUUUACAGAGGAAUAGCCCAGAGAAAUUUGGAUUAAUGCCUCAUAGUAUUAUAGAAUGGCAUCAUUUUAUAAUUAAACAUUUAUGGGUAAAAGAUGGCUAUGCGUUCUAUUAGCUAGUUGGUAAGGUAACGGCUUACCAAGGCUACGAUAGAUAGGGGUCCUGAGAGGGAGAUCCCCCACACUGGUACUGAGACACGGACCAGACUCCUACGGGAGGCAGCAGUGAGGAAUAUUGGACAAUGGAGGCAACUCUGAUCCAGCCAUGCCGCGUGCAGGAAGACGGCCCUAUGGGUUGUAAACUGCUUUUAUAUAGGAAGAAACCUUUCCACGUGUGGAAAGCUGACGGUACUAUAAGAAUAAGCACCGGCUAACUCCGUGCCAGCAGCCGCGGUAAUACGGAGGGUGCAAGCGUUAUCCGGAAUCAUUGGGUUUAAAGGGUCCGUAGGCGGACUAAUAAGUCAGGGGUGAAAUCCAACAGCUUAACUGUUGAACUGCCUUUGAUACUGUUAGUCUUGAAUUAUAUGGAAGUAGAUAGAAUGUGUAGUGUAGCGGUGAAAUGCUUAGAGAUUACACAGAAUACCGAUUGCGAAGGCAGUCUACU